rnacentral:rRNA from 1 species
GACGAACGCUAGCGGCGUGCUUAACACAUGCAAGUCGAGCGGUAAGGCCUUUCGGGGUACACGAGCGGCGAACGGGUGAGUAACACGUGGGUGAUCUGCCCUGCACUUCGGGAUAAGCCUGGGAAACUGGGUCUAAUACCGGAUAUGACCUCCUAUCGCAUGGUGGGUGGUGGAAAGAUUUAUCGGUGCAGGAUGGGCCCGCGGCCUAUCAGCUUGUUGGUGGGGUAAUGGCCUACCAAGGCGACGACGGGUAGCCGACCUGAGAGGGUGGCCGGCCACACUGGGACUGAGACACGGCCCAGACUCCUACGGGAGGCAGCAGUGGGGAAUAUUGCACAAUGGGCGAAAGCCUGAUGCAGCGACGCCGCGUGAGGGAUGACGGCCUUCGGGUUGUAAACCUCUUUCAGCAGGGGCGAAGCGCAAGUGACGGUACCUGCAGAAGAAGCACCGGCUAACUACGUG